GCUAGUUCAUACCACCCUGAAUGUACCCAAUCAUGUCUGGUCUUGGAAAUUAACCACAGUCAGUCCUGGUUAGUAUUAGCA
rnacentral:rRNA from 14 species